UAUCCUAAAAACCCCAAAUCCCCAACCCCAUCCUGCCCUCGGCGCCCAGCCGCUGCUCCCCGGAGCAGCAGCAGUGCCAGCUGCGGUGCUGGUUGGGGACAGUGACGUGCCAGCUCCUGGAGCACCAGCGGCUCCUGCCCGAGGGACGGGGACGGGAGCAGGAGGAGCACCGGGCACACGGGGACUUCCUGCGCCAGGAGCGCCAGCGCUGCCUCACCUACGUGCAGGCGCUGGGGGCGUGGCUGCGCGGGGACAGCGGCGACAGCGCCACCCUCGGGGACAGCGAGGAGCUCGGGGACAUCGAGGGUCCCCUUGGGGACAGCCCCGAGGGUCCCCAUGGCCCCGCGCCGCUCACCAAGUGCCACUCGAGUCCCUCGCUGGCCCCGGAGCCACCCCCGGGCCGCGUGCGGCGCCACAUCUCGGAGCGCAGGGCCACCCGUGUCAUUGUCCCCAAACGCCACCGGGACCGGCUGUGACACCGUGGGAGUGUCACCACUGUCACUGGGACUGUCCCCAAUGUCACCGCCACAUCUCGGAGCGCAGGGCCACCCGUGUCAUUGUCCCCAAGUUCCACCAGGACCGCCUGUGACAGACCUGGAUUGUCCCUGGGAUUGUCCCCAAGUGCCACCAGGACUGGCUGUGGGGACCCUGUGACAGGGACACCCCAAAGUGCCACCCCAGGACAGGGACACUCCCAAUGUCCCCUCUGUGGGACAAGGGACACCCCAAAGUGCCACCCCCAGGACAGGGACACUCCCAGUGUCCCCACCCCAAUGUCCCCAAUGCUGUCCCCAAUGUCCCCUCCCCCCCCGGUACGAGGCUUUUUUGGGGGAUCCCCCCCGGGAUUGGGAACAACUCAGGGAAAUCCCAAAAACCCCAAACUUCCCAAAAACCCCCAAACUUCCCAAAAACCCCCCAAAUUCCCAAAAACCCCCAAAAUUCCCAGAAAUCCUAAAAUCCCAAUCCCAAAUUCCCAUUCCCAAAAAUCCCAAAAAUUCCCCCCCAAAAAAAUCCCAUUCCCAGAGGAACUUUGGGGGGAUUUUGGGGGAAUUUGGGAUUCCCUCGCUGCGGUUGUGCAAUAAAGGUUCGGAAUUCCAGAAUUUUGGGGAAGGUUCUGGAGAACUUUGGGGGUUCUGGAGAACUUGACAAGGUUCUGGGGGACAUUUGGGAAGGUUCUGGAGAACAUUGGGUGGUCCCAGAGGUCCCCAAGGUGUCCUGGAGGUCCCCAAGGUGUCCCGGAGGUCCACGAGGUGUCCUGGAGGUCCCCAAGGUGUCCUGUGGGCCACAGGAAGCUUCUGGAGGUUGUGGGGAGGUUCUGGAGAACAUGGGGUGCUCCUGGAGAUCAUGGGGAGGUUCUGGAGAACAUGGGGUGAUCCUGGAGAUCCUGGGGAGGUUCUGGAGAACAUGGGGUGCUCCUGGAGGCCACGGGAAGGUUCUGGAGAACAUUGGGUGCUCCUGGAGAUCAUGGGAAGGUUCUGGAGAACAUUGGGUGCUCCUGGAGAUCAUGGGAAGGUUCUGGAGAACAUUGGGUGCUCCUGGAGAUCAUGGGAAGGUUCUGGAGAACAUGGGGUGAUCCUGGAGAUCCUGGGGAGGUUCUGGAGAACAUGGGGUGAUCCUGGAGAUCCUGGGGAGGUUCUGGAGAACAUGGGGUGAUCCUGGAGAUCCUGGGAAGGUUCUGGAGAACAUGGGGUGAUCCUGGAGAUCCUGGGGAGGUUCUGGAGAACACGGGCUGCUCCUGGAGAUCCUGGGAAGGUUCUGGAGAACAUGGGGCGAUCCUGGAGAUCCUGGGAAGGUUCUGGAGAUCACUGGGUGCUCCUGGAGAUCCUGGGGAGGUUCUAGAGAACACUGGGUGAUCCUGGAGGCCAUGGGAGUGUCCCAGAGGUCCCCGAGGUGUCCUGGAGGUCCCCGAGGUGUCCUGUGGGCCACAGGAAGCUUCUGGAGGUUGUGGGGAGGUUCUGGAGAACACGGGGUGCUCCUGGAGAUCCUGGGGAGGUUCUGGAGAACACUGGGUGCUCCUGGAGGCCACGGGAGGUUCUGGAGAACAGUGGGUGAUCCUGGAGAUCCUGGGAAGGUUCUGGAGAACAGUGGGUGCUCCUGGAGAUCCUGGGGAGGUUCUGGAGAACACGGGGUGAUCCUGGAGAUCCUGGGAAGGUUCUGGAGAACAUGGGGUGAUCCUGGAGAUCCUGGGGAGGUUCUGGAGAACAUGGGGUGAUCCUGGAGAUCCUGGGGAGGUUCUGGAGAACACUGGGUGCUCCUGGAGAUCAUGGGGAGGUUCUGGAGAACAUGGGGUGAUCCUGGAGGCCACGGGAGGUUCUGGAGAACACGGGGUGAUCCUGGAGGUCACGGGAGGUUCUGGAGAACACUGGGUGCUCCUGGAGAUCCUGGGAAGGUUCUGGAGAACAUGGGGUGAUCCUGGAGAUCCUGGGGAGGUUCUGGAGAUCACUGGGUGAUCCUGGAGAUCCUGGGAAGGUUCUGGAGAACACUGGGUGAUCCUGGAG